rnacentral:rRNA from 1 species
GACUAACGCUGACGGUAUGCCUUAUACAUGCAAGUCGAACGGUAAGGCCCCUUCGGGGGUACACGAGUGGCGGACGGGUGAGUAACGCGUAGGAAUCUGCCCCAAAGUGGGGGACAACCAGGAGAAAUCCUGGCUAAUACCCCAUAUGACGCAAGUUGAAAGAAUUUCGCUUUGGGAGGAGCCUGCGUUUGAUUAGUUUGUUGGUGAGGUAAAAGCUCACCAAGACUGCGAUCAAUAGCUGGUUUGAGAGGAUGAUCAGCCACAAUGGGACUGAGAUACGGCCCAUACUCCUACGGGAGGCAGCAGUAGGGAAUUUUGCGCAAUGGGCGAAAGCCUGACGCAGCAAUACCGUGUGUAGGAAGACGCUCUGUGGAGUGUAAACUACUGUCAGAAGGGACGAAUUUGACUGUACCUUCAGAGGAAGCACCGGCUAACUCCG